CGGUGUUCAACUGGCGUGCCCGCGGGACGUCCUGCCGGUGAGCUCAGCCCGCGAGGGCGGCUCAACUUGAAAUCCCAUCGCGGUGCUCUUCAUUGAGUGUCGAGGUGGGCCGGCACGAUUACUUUUGAACAAAUUAGAGUGCUUAAAGCAGGCUAAAAUUUUGCCUGAAUACUGUGUAUAUGGAAUAAUGGAAUAGGACCUCGGUUCUAUUUUGUUGGUUUUCGGAACCCCCGAGGUAAUGAUUAAUAGGAACGGAUGGGGGCAUUUCGUAUUGCGACGUUAGAGGUGAAAUUCUUGGAUCGUCGCAAGACGGACUAAAGCGAAAGCAUUUGCCAAAAACGCUUUCAUUGAUCAAGAACGAAAGUUAGAGGUUCGAAGGCGAUCAGAUACCGCCCUAGUUCUAACCAUAAACUAUGCCAGCUAGCGAUCCGCCGACGUCCCUCUGAUGACUCGGCGGGCAGCUUCCGGGAAACCAAAGCUUUUGGGUUCCGGGGGAAGUAUGGUUGCAAAGCUGAAACUUAAAGGAAUUGACGGAAGGGCACCACCAGGAGUGGAGCCUGCGGCUUAAUUUGACUCAACACGGGAAACCUCACCAGGCCCAGACACUGGAAGGAUUGACAGAUUGAGAGCUCUUUCUUGAUUCAGUGGGUGGUGGUGCAUGGCCGUUCUUAGUCGGUGGAGCGAUUUGUCAGGUUAAUUCCGAUAACGGACGAGGCUCUGACCUGAUAACUAGACGCACUUGCGGCAUCUCAAAGGUCCGCCGGCGGCUGGCUUUGCGCCCGUCGUCGCGCGCGAUUUUUACUGCCGGCGUACAAUAAAUUCCUCUUAGAGGGACAAGUGG
rnacentral:rRNA from 1 species